rnacentral:lncRNA from 1 species
ACGACUUCCUCGACACUGGCUACCCCGACUCGACAUCGACCACGACAUUCUUCGCACGACUACCUAGACCACGGCUACCUCGACAUCGACACAAAGGGCUAUCACCUCGGUUGAGAAACUCAUUGGCUUCCUCUACAGUCCACGUGUCCGCGAUGCGACACCGUCCCCGAUGCCCCCGCUCCGACUGCGGAGGGAUGUAAACCCGUCGACUGUUAUUUUCUCGAGUCUGACUGUCUGCGACGCUCCUGUUGUUCGCAAUGCUACUGCUACAACUCCGGCGGGAUGUUAGAGAUAUCUUUGGUGUACAUGUAUUUGAUAGUUUAGGAUUUGUAAUCCAUCUCCUACCUUAUCUCUAGGAGAGGCUUCUUAACCUACAAGUCUUGUACCCAAUAUGUACUCACUCAUGAAGCUCAAUAAUAU